UCAUUCGAUGGGGAGACACCACUGUCGUAGUGCAACUACCAAAAAGCAGCUGGUGGCCUCGUUACAUAUCGUUUUCUCACAAAAAACACGCUCAAGAAAAUCUUGGGUGACAAGGACUCCCAAAUCGCAUUGUAAGAAAGGCAAUUGAUUUGGGACAAAAAAUUACUCAUGCAAGCUCCUCGCUGGCACACAAGCUGAGUCGCUCAUGAUAUACUUAACAAUCAUACAAUUCAUAGUGUCAUCGAGUUUGUAUUGCAUCUAUUCUCUUCUCAUGCAUGCUACUACGGCAAACACAAGACGUAUACCCACGUUAACUCCAACCCAACAAUCAUCCGGCGGCCUAAGCUCAUAUGACGCUUCUCUUCAAGUGGCUGCUCGAGCCCUGGUGAUGUCUGUCUGAACAUUUUGGGGCUUGGGCGGGCUGAGAGUGGGUCAAGAAGAUAAUGGUGUUCUUCUUCUGCGCAAAAAUGGCUGGAUCGGUGAACAAGGUAGAUGACCUCAACUCGGCCCAACACCACACGCGCGACUUCCAUGUGUUUCACUAAAGAUGGACUGGAUCAAUCCUUUUCGAUGAAGAGAACAUCUAUGCUUUAGCGAGUGAUUCACCGGAUCCGUGUGUAAUCUAGCUAAGAGCAUGAUGAUCCUGCUACGCCCCCGCUGGUGUGCUCUGCUCAAGAUGGAAUUCUUCUCCUGCCCUUCCUUCCUUCAGUCAUGCAGCACGCCUACUACACUGGUUGUGCUACUAGGAAAUAUACAAAGACAACUACAGCUCGCAUGGACGGGCCACUGUUUGCUUUUGAACGAAAUGUACUCAUCUAUAGUAUACGUUUUUUUUUAAGAAGCGUAGGAGAACUGCCGUUUUCUUUAAUAGGAAGAAGAUUGCAGAAGAGCGCCAUCAUCUAUAGUAUAAGUUGCAGUUGGCAAACAAGCAACUACUACCUUGCUUAUGUGUCUCGGGGUUGAAGAAUUUCCAAACGAUUUUUUAACCUA